rfam:Triticum aestivum genome assembly, contig: Triticum_aestivum_CS42_TGACv1_scaffold_158090_2DL
CUUAUACUCCCUCCAUCCGCAAAUACUUGUCGGAGAAAUGGAUGUAUCUAGACAUAUUUUCAUUCUAGAUACAUCCACUUUUAUGUAUUUCUACCACAAGUAUUUUCGGACAGAGGGGGUAUAUA